AUGGCUGUGUUUCCCCUGGUACAGCUGGUCCUUGCACUGGCCGCGCUUUCCUGGGCCCGCUCGCAGGUGGUUCUGACCCAGUCGGGGACAGCGGUGAAAAAGCCUGAGAGUCCCAUAGGCUGCAAUGUGCAGUGUCCAGUCCCAGGUGCAGCUGGUGGAGUCCGGAGGGAUGUGAAAAAGCCCGGAGACUCUCUCCGCCUCUCCUGCAAAGCCUCCGGGUUCACCUUCAGCAGCUACGCUAUGAGCUGGGUCCGUCAGACUCCCGUGAAGGGAUUUGAAUGUCUCGGUACUAUAAACACCGAUGGGGAUACUGUAUACUACCUUGAUUCAGUGAAAGGGCGAUUCACCAUCUCCAGGGAUAAUUCCAAGAGUGAGCUGCAUCUGCAAAUGACCGGCCUGAAGCCCGAGGACACCGCCCGCUAUUACUGUGUGGCCGGAGACACAGUGAAAUGA